rnacentral:rRNA from 1 species
UACGUAGGGGGCCAGCGUUGUCCGGAUUUACUGGGCGUAAAGCGUGCGUAGGCGGAAGUUUAAGUGUGGCCUGAAAGCCCCCGGCUCAACCGGGGAGGGUGGCUGCAAACUGGGCUUCUUGAGGGCGAUAGAGGAGAGUGGAAUUCCCGGUGUAGCGGUGAAAUGCGCAGAUAUCGGGAGGAACACCAAUGGCGAAGGCAGCUCGCUGGGACGUGACUGACGCUGAGACGCGAAAGCGUGGGGAGCAAACAGG